UACGUAGGGGGCUAGCGUUGUCCGGAAUCAUUGGGCGUAAAGAGCGUGUAGGCGGUCCGGUAAGUCCGCUGUGAAAAUCCAGGGCUUAACCCUGGACCUGCGUUCGAUACGGGCAGACUAGAGUUCGGUAGGGGAGACUGGAAUUCCUGGUGUAGCGGUGAAAUGCGCAGAUAUCAGGAGGAACACCGGUGGCGAAGGCGGGUCUCUGGGCCGAUACUGACGCUGAGGAGCGAAAGCGUGGGGAGCGAACAGG
rnacentral:rRNA from 1 species